rfam:Melampsora larici-populina 98AG31 unplaced genomic scaffold MELLAscaffold_6, whole genome shotgun sequence.
GUGUCUGUAGCCUAGUGGUAAAGGCAGCACUCUAGUAUGUGUCUCAGUUAGCACUGAGGUCAUGGGUUCAAAUCCCAUCAGACACA